UAGGGAAUAUUGGACAAUGGGGGCAACCCUGAUCCAGCCAUGCCGCGUGAGUGAAGAAGGCCCUCGGGUUGUAAAGCUCUUUUGUCCGGAAAGAAAAGCAUUCGGUGAAUACCCGGAUGUUCUGACGGUACCGGAAGAAUAAGCACCGGCUAACUUCGUGCCAGCAGCCGCGGUAAUACGAAGGGUGCAAGCGUUACUCGGAAUUACUGGGCGUAAAGCGUGCGUAGGUGGUUGUUUAAGUAGGAUGUGAAAGCCCUGGGCUCAACCAGGGAAUGGCAUUGGAAACUGGGCAGCUAGAGUGCGGUAGAGGGCAGUGGAAUUCCAUGUGGAGCAGUGAAAUGCGUAGAGAUCGGGAGGAACAUCUGUGGCGAAGGCGACUGCCUGGACCAGCACUGACACUGAGGCACGAAAGCGUGGGGAGCAAACA
rnacentral:rRNA from 1 species